rnacentral:rRNA from 1 species
GUGGGGAAUAUUGGACAAUGGGGGGAACCCUGAUCCAGCCAUGCCGCGUGUGUGAAGAAGGCCUUUUGGUUGUAAAGCACUUUAAGCGAGGAGGAGGCUACCGAGAUUAAUACUCUUGGAUAGUGGACGUUACUCGCAGAAUAAGCACCGGCUAACUCUGUGCCAGCAGCCGCGGUAAUACAGAGGGUGCAAGCGUUAAUCGGAUUUACUGGGCGUAAAGCGCGCGUAGGUGGCCAAUUAAGUCAAAUGUGAAAUCCCCGAGCUUAACUUGGGAAUUGCAUUCGAUACUGGUUGGCUAGAGUAUGGGAGAGGAUGGUAGAAUUCCAGGUGUAGCGGUGAAAUGCGUAGAGAUCUGGAGGAAUACCGAUGGCGAAGGCAGCCAUCUGGCCUAAUACUGAUACUGAGGUGCGAAAGCAUGGGGAGCAAACAGGAUUAGAAACCCUGGUAGUCC